UACGUAGGGUGCAAGCGUUAAUCGGAAUUACUGGGCGUAAAGCGUGCGCAGGCGGUUAUGUAAGACAGAUGUGAAAUGCCCGGGCUUAACCUGGGAACUGCAUUUGUGACUGCAUGGCUAGAGUUUGGCAGAGGGGGGGUAGAAUUCCACGUGUAGCAGUGAAAUGCGUAGAUAUGUGGAGGAACACCGAUGGCGAAGGCAGCCCCUGGGUCAAGACUGACGCUCAUGCACGAAAGCGUGG
rnacentral:rRNA from 1 species